rnacentral:pre_miRNA from 1 species
GGGGGGAGGCCGGAUCCUGGGCUUUGUCCUGGUGCCCUGUGCUCGGGGACCUGCGCUGUUGGAUUCGCGCUCCCGCCCCGCAGCCCCUC